rnacentral:rRNA from 1 species
UACGAAGGGGGCUAGCGUUGUUCGGAAUUACUGGGCGUAAAGGGCGCGUAGGCGGCGUGUCAAGUCAGGCGUGAAAGCCCCGGGCUCAACCUGGGAACCGCGCUUGAGACUGGCAUGCUCGAGUUCGGGAGAGGAUGGUGGAAUUCCCAGUGUAGAGGUGAAAUUCGUAGAUAUUCGGAAGAGCACCAGUGGCGAAGGCGGCUCACUGGACCGUAGUUGACGCUGAGGUGCGAAAGCGUGGGGAGCAAACAGG